rnacentral:lncRNA from 1 species
GAAUUACGCUUCACUAUGCUAUUUUAAUAUUUUACAUUGACAUUUACUAUAAUUUAUGGCUCGAGUCGAUUAGGUGGCAUAAGUUUAUGUGAAAAUGAUAAGAGUUUUGACCUAAAUAGUCAAUCACCCAACUGCUAAAACUAAAAAAUAGUUAGCACAUAUAUACUACAUGAAUAAUCGAUAUAUAAUAUGUUUAUAACCUUUAUCAUAAAUUGUAAAGGCAAUGAGAACUCAGUAAGUAGAGUUAUGGAAGCAUUAUACCACUUUAGCAAUGUCUCAGGUCUGAUUGCCAGUAUAGACAAAU